rnacentral:rRNA from 1 species
AUUGAACGCUGGCGGCAUGCUUUACACAUGCAAGUCGAACGGUAACGCGGGGCAACCUGGCGACGAGUGGCGAACGGGUGAGUAAUGCAUCGGAACGUGCCCGGUAGUGGGGGAUAACUGCUCGAAAGAGCAGCUAAUACCGCGUACGACCUGAGGGUGAAAGGGGGGGAUCGCAAGACCUCUCGCUAUUGGAGCGGCCGAUGUCGGAUUAGCUAGUUGGUGGGGUAAGGGCCCACCAAGGCGACGAUCCGUAGCUGGUCUGAGAGGACGACCAGCCACACUGGGACUGAGACACGGCCCAGACUCCUACGGGAGGCAGCAGUGGGGAAUUUUGUACAAUGGACGCAAGUCUGAUCCAGCCAUGCCGCGUGCGGGAAGAAGGCCUUCGGGUUGUAAACCGCUUUUGUCAGAGAAGAAAUCUUCUGGGUUAAUACCUCGGGAGGAUGACGGUAUCUGAAGAAUAAGCACCGGCUAACUACGUGUCAGCCGCCGCCGUAACAC